GUCGACGCUGUUCAGCAGAAACCCUAACCGUUCAGUUUGGAUCGUAUUUAACGCCUCUUAGGCCGUCAUUUUCAGUCUUUUGGUCAAUUGAGAGAAACCCUAAUCGCUGUGGACGCCUAGAGCAAGGGAGAAAGCUUUGGAACUUGGAAGAAUUGGUUAGGCAAGAAGAAGAGGGAUUUGGCUAAAGGAAUAUCAAGGAGGAUUGAGUCCUGAGAUUUGGGGGACACAGAGGGUGCGUUUUCAGGUAAUACUCGGACCAAAUAUGUUAUUUUGAUGUAUUUAUGAAAUUAGGGUUUAUAGAACCCAUUUAGUGAUUUGAUGAAGAAAUGCCUUGUUACCCCACGAUUAUAGUCUUGUAUUAGGACCUUUAGAGGUCCAGAAGGUCCCAUGCAUGUGUACUUCGGGACGAGACCUAUCCCAGGAAGCAGUUACUCGUCUGCAUGGCAUGGACUCGCCGAGUUGUUCUUCAGACUCGGCGAGUAGCUUGAAGAUGUGCUGGGACUCGCCGAGUUGUUCAUCAGACUCGGCGAGUGGAGUCGGGGUGGCCCCGCGAUUCUUCCACGAGGACCUCGUCGAGUCAAGAGGUAUACUCGACGAGUAGAAAGGGAAUAUUCAGGAAUCUGUGAGGACGACUAGACUCGCCGAGUCGCCAUGGUACUCGCCGAGUCCAGUCGAGUUGACCGUUGACCGUUGACCAGAGUUGACCUAAGUCUGACUUCUUAGGGAUAGUCACACUUAGAUGAUAUGAGUGUUAAUGAGUUAUGUAAUGUUAUAGGAGGGUUGUAGCUCGUUGGUUUGUGCGCGAGUGAUUUCAGGAGUUGCUAGCUUUCAGCACUUACGAGGUGAGUCUUCUCACUAUACUGUACCCGGAAGGGUUUGACUGUGUGACCGGAAGGUCAAGUAUGUUAUGUAUUAUGUUUAUAUGCUAUAAGUGGUAAGUUAAGUGUUAUAUGGAUAUGUAUGCUAUAAGUGGUAAGUUAAGUGUUAUAUGGAUAUGUAUGCUAUAUGUGGUAAGUUAAGUGUUAUAUGUGCUAUGUAUGAUAUGUGGGCCGGAAGGCAAUAUGUUAUGGGCCGGAAGGCGAUUAUGUUAUGGGCCGGAAGGCGUUGUAAUGAGGACCGGAAGGUCAGGGCCUGGAAAGGCGUAUGUGCGUAAGUGUAUAUUGGGGAACUCACUAAGCAUUUAUGCUUACAGUUGUUGUGCAUGUAUUUCAGGUACUAGUGAGGACCGUGGGAAGGCGCCGGCAUGAUCGAUACACACUGAAGAUUGUUUUAUGAUCUUGGGAGUUUGAAUAAUUGUAUUGACCGAAUAAUUGAACUGUUUAUGCCUUGUUUUUAAUGGAAAUAAUUAUGUUUUAAAAAUGAAAAAUUUGUUUGAAAAAUUUGAGUUGUUACAAUUGGUAUCAGAGCCUUGGUUUGAGGGAUUCGGGUGCACCUUCGGGGGUAACUGAACUCAAACCGAGGAUUUGAGAAAACUUUUCAAAUAAAGGCAUAAACUUUUGUAAAUGGUUUUGUGGUAAGCAAGAAAGAAGCAGUGUGUACGAUCAGUCAGCGCCCGAACGGUAAAGAUCCCCAAAAUACCUUACAAUAUUAUAUGAUAUGAAUUGUUAUGCAUGCUAGAAGACUAGGUAUUCAUGAUAGGACUAGAGUGGCCUGAUUUGUGAUGCCUUAGUCUAGGGAAGUUGCUUAUAUGAGAUGCUUUGCUAGUAUGCGGGUAGAUAGAGCGUAUCAGAAGUAGAGUACUCACUAUCUGGAGUUUGGGGAGGAGGACUUGGGAUGAACAUUGAUGCGGUGUGGUCGGUAGUAUUGGGCCCGUACUACCGAGGACACCGGGUCAGUGGGAGGCCCAAGUAAGAAUCCCUGGAUAUCUGGGACUGAGUAGGGUUGCGUGUCGAGUACGAUUAUACUCGGUAGAAUCUCUGAUAGUUUUAUGUUGUAUUUCAGAGAUAUCAUGGUUAGACCGCGGCACGGGGCAAGUACGAGCGGUGUGAGUGACGAGGAUAUUCGUCAGAUGAUCCACGAGGAGGUGGCGGCGGCGAUCCGGGCUGAGAUCCCGGAGAUGUUUGGGUCUAUCAAGACCACCCUGAUGGAGACGUUCGACGAGCGGUACGCCGCAUUGACUGAGGCUGCAACCGCUGCAGCUACCGCAGCUGUGGCCGCUGCUAGGCCACAGGGGGGUGAUUCAUUGCUGUUCCGAGAGUUCAGCAACACGAAGCCACCAGAGUUCGAUGGGACGCAGGAUCCGAUUGCUGCGAUGAGGUGGAUCGCAGAUAUAGAGGGGUGCUUCUAUACUUGUUCAUGCCCGGAGCACCUGAGGGUACGGUUCGCUUUGAACCAGCUCCGUCUGGGAGCGAAGGACUGGUGGAAGUUCGUGACAGCGAAUUUCACUUUGGCAGAGACUACAGCGGUGACAUGGGAGGGGUUUACUGCCAUGUUCAGGGAUGAGUACGUUCCCCCGGUGGAGAGGGAACGAUUGGUGCAGGAGUUCUUAACCCUCAAGCAGGGUACCGAUUCUGUUGCGGUGAUUACACGGAAGUUUCAUGAGAGGGCGAUGUUUUGCCCUGAGCUGGUGUCCUCAGAGCAGGCUCGGAUGAGCCGAUACUUGGGUGUCUUGAGGAGGGAUAUUCGGGAGUUUGUGUCAAACUCCACUUACCAUACUUUUGCUGAGCUUCAGGCGAAUGCCAGGAAGCGCGAGAUCGAGUUGGAGACCCAGGCUAGGGAGGAGGCCGAGUCUCAGCGGGUGGAUCGGCGACCGGCUCAGUUCCAGCCGGCAGCCAAGCGGACCAAGUCCGCUGAUUCGAGGACAGGAGGUUCGAAGGGUCGCACUUGCGGGAAGUGCGGCAAGAGUCAUGAUGGAGUAUGUCGAUCUGGUGCUUGCUACAAGUGUGGCAAGGAGGGGCACAUUGCUAGGGAGUGCCCCAAGGGAUUUACGGUUUGCUUUCAUUGCAACCAGACUGGCCAUAGGAAGGCCGAGUGCCCUCAGCUUCUUCAGGGAUCUGCACCUGCUGCCGGAGUUACUGCGACUCGACCGGUGAAGGCCGAGGCCCCGAGGGCUCGGGGAAGAGCCUUUCAGCUGACAGCGGAAGAGGUCCGCGCUGCGCCCGAUGUUGUGGCAGGUAUGUUGUAAUUCAUGUAAUUAUUUUAAUGUCGAUAUGUUAUGCUUAUGUUAUUAUGCGCGUAGGUACUUUCCUUGUGAACUCUGUGCCUGCCUUAGUGUUAUUUGACUCGGGUGCGAGUAGGUCCUUUGUGUCCUUGGCCUUUAGUCAGCAUAUUGGCGUUAGUCGUGAGUCGUUGAGUCGACCUUUGAGAGUCUCUAUAGCUGACGAGAAGGUGAUUUGUGCUACGGAGGUUCUUCGGGGAUGUGUACUAGAGAUUUUCGGGGUUGGAUUCCCGAUUGAUCUGAUUCCUAUCGCGAUGGGGGAUGUCUGUGUCAUCGUGGGCAUGGACUGGCUGAGCCGGUUCGGCGCUGUCAUCGACUGUGAGCGUCAGUUGGUGACUAUACGAGACCCUAGAGGGGGAGUUCUUUCGGUAUACGGCGAGGGUACCCGUUCGGGAUCAGCUUUUUGUUCGGCCGCUAGGGCGAGGCAGUGUCUACGACAGGGCUGUAAGGGUUUCGUGGCGUAUGUGAUGGAUACGCGGGAGGUUUCUGAGAAACCGAAGUCAGUUGAGGAAGUUCCGGUGGUGCGCGAGUUUUCAGAUGUCUUUCCCGAGGAGUUGCCGGGAGUACCGCCUGUGAGGCAAGUAGAGUUUAGUAUCGAUCUGGUUCCGGGGGCAGCGCCUAUUGCCAAAGUGCCCUAUCGUCUUGCACCUCCAGAGAUGCAAGAGUUGUCCUCGCAACUCCAGGAGUUGCUGGGAAAGGGAUUCAUUCGGCCGAGCAGCUCGCCAUGGGGAGCACCUAUUCUGUUCGUCAAAAAGAAGGAUGGUUCACACCGGAUGUGCAUUGAUUACCGGGAGUUGAACAAGCUAACGGUCAAGAACCGUUACCCGUUGCCGAGGAUCGAUGAUUUAUUCGAUCAGUUGCAGGGAGCAUCUUGGUUUUCCAAGAUCGAUCUGAGGUCAGGAUACCAUCAGGUGAGAGUACGGGAUGAAGACGUCCAGAAGACAGCGUUUAGGACGCGAUAUGGGCAUUAUGAGUUUGUGGUGAUGCCUUUUGGACUCACCAAUGCCCCGGCUGUGUUCAUGGAUCUCAUGAACAGGGUAUGCAGGCCGAUGUUGGAUCGGUCGGUGAUCGUAUUUAUCGACGACAUUCUGGUGUAUUCGAGAUCGAGAGAGCAGCAUGAGGAGCAUUUGAGGGAGGUCCUUGAGGUAUUGAGGUCGGAGAAACUUUAUGCAAAGUUCUCCAAAUGUGACUUCUGGUUGCGGGAGGUCCAGUUUCUAGGACAUGUGGUUAAUCAGAAAGGGAUAUUGGUCGAUCCGGCCAAGGUUGAGGCGGUGAUGAGUUGGGAGGUGCCGAAGUCACCCUCUGAGAUCAGAAGUUUCCUUGGGUUGGCAGGGUAUUAUCGGAGAUUUAUCAAGGAUUUCUCCAAGAUCGCAGUGCCACUCACCAGAUUGACCCGGAAGGGUGUUACGUUCUCAUGGGGGCCCGAGCAGCAGACCUCCUUUGAGACACUUCGCCAAAGAUUGUGCGAAGCCCCGGUAUUAGCUCUUCCAGAAGGGAUGGAAGAUUUCGUGGUAUAUUGCGACGCAUCGAUUUCGGGAUUGGGUGCAGUGUUAAUGCAGAGGGGUCAUGUGAUAGCUUAUGCGUCGAGGCAGCUGAAGCCUCAUGAGGCGAGAUAUCCCACGCAUGAUUUAGAGUUGGGGGCAGUAGUGUUCGCUCUCAAGAUUUGGCGUCACUACUUGUAUGGGGUUCGAUGUACGAUAUACACGGACCAUAAGAGUUUGAAGUAUUUGAUGGAUCAACCCAACCUAAAUAUGCGUCAGAGGAGGUGGUUGGAUGUGGUCAAGGAUUAUGAUUGUGAGAUCCUGUACCACCCAGGCAAGGCUAAUGUGGUAGCCGAUGCAUUGAGCCGCAGGGCGGAGAGCACUCCAUUGCGAGACGUAUGCUUGAGACUGACUGUGAUGACUCCAGUAUUGGACGCUAUUCGUGGGGCCCAGGCUGAGGCUGUGCGACCAGAAAUGCAGAAGAAAGAGCGGGUUGUGGGGUUAAUCUCAGAGUUUGUCAAGGAUAGUCGAGGCCUUAUGACGUUUCAGGGUCGGAUUUGGGUGCCGUUCGUGGGCGGUACGCGUAUUACGUUGAUGGAAGAGGCUCAUAAAUCGAAAUUCUCGAUUCAUCCCGGUGCUACAAAGAUGUAUUUGGAUUUAAGGAAGGAAUAUUGGUGGCCCUGUAUGAAGAGGGACGUGGCAUGGUUCGUUGAGAGGUGCUUGACCUGCCGUAGGGUUAAGGCUGAGCACCAGAGACCGCAUGGCAAGUUACAGCCAUUGGAGAUCCCCGAGUGGAAGUGGGAACAGAUUACUAUGGAUUUUAUCACCAAAUUGCCGAGGACUGCUAGGGGAGUUGACGCAAUUUGGGUGAUCGUGGAUAGGUUGACAAAGAGUGCACACUUCCUUGCCAUCAGUGAGAGUUCUUCGGCGGAGAAAUUGGCGGAGAUAUACGUGAGAGAGGUGGUAUCUCGGCACGGGGUGCCGAUCUCGAUUGUGUCAGACCGUGAUGUGCGCUUUACUUCCAGAUUCUGGAAGAAAUUCCAUGAGGAGCUGGGUACUAAAUUGCAUUUUAGUACCGCAUACCAUCCCCAGACAGACGGUCAGAGCGAGCGGACAAUUCAGACACUGGAGGACAUGCUCCGAGCGUGUGUGUUAGACUUCGGGGGUAGUUGGGAUGCGUAUUUACCAUUGGCAGAGUUUUCCUACAACAACAGCCAUCAUUCGAGCAUUGGUAUGCCGCCUUUCGAGCUGUUGUAUGGUAGGAGGUGUCGGACUCCCAUUUGCUGGGGAGAGGUGGGACAGAGAGUGAUGGGCAGCACGGAGAUCAUACUCCAGACGACAGAGCAGAUUCAACAAGUGAGACAAAGAUUAUUGACUGCCCAGAGCCGACAGAAGAGUUAUGCAGACAGGCGCCGAUCCGAGCUUGAAUUUCAAGUCGGCGACUUCGUUCUCCUGAAGGUCUCUCCUUGGAAAGGAGUGAUUCGGUUCAGGAAGAGAGGCAAGUUGGGGCCCCGGUAUAUUGGGCCAUUUCGUGUGAUUGCAAGGAUAGGUCGGGUAGCCUACCGGUUGGAGUUGCCAGCGGAGUUGGGUCAGAUCCAUGACACUUUUCAUGUGUCGCAGUUGAGGAAGUGCAUAGCCGAUGAGUCGGCAGUGGUUCCAUUGGAGGAUAUUCAGGUGGAUGCGAGCCUGAAUUACGCGGAGAGACCAGUGGCUAUCAGGGAUCGGAAGAUCAAGGUUCUGAGGAACAAGGAAGUACCUCUGGUGUUGGUUCAAUGGCAACACCGUAAGGGAUCAGAAAUGACUUGGGAACCGGAGCGCGAAAUGCGGGAGCAGCAUCCGGAACUAUUUGCAGAAUGAGACUUCGAGGGCGAAGUCUAAUCCAAGUGGGGGAGAAUUGUAACAGCCCGGAAUCUCAGGUAUUAUUAAAAUUAUGUUUUUGGGGUGAUUUAAGAGGGGACUCGGCGAGUUGGAGCCUAGACUCGCCGAGUAGGAUCGCGGACUUGGUCGCGGGUCCGCGACUGGACUCGACGAGUCCAGAUAUGGACUCGGCGAGUCGACGCUGUUCAGCAGAAACCCUAACCGUUCAGUUUGGAUCGUAUUUAACGCCUCUUAGGCCGUCAUUUUCAGUCUUUUGGUCAAUUGAGAGGAACCCUAAUCGCUGUGGACGCCUAGAGCAAGGGAGAAAGCUUUGGAACUUGGAAGAAUUGGUUAGGCAAGAAGAAGAGGGAUUUGGCUAAAGGAAUAUCAAGGAGGAUUGAGUCCUGAGAUUUGGGGGACACAGAGAGUGCGUUUUCAGGUAAUACUCGGACCAAAUAUGUUAUUUUGAUGUAUUUAUGAAAUUAGGGUUUAUAGAACCCAUUUAGUGAUUUGAUGAAGAAAUGCCUUGUUACCCCACGAUUAUAGUCUUGUAUUAGGACCUUUAGAGGUCCAGAAGGUCCC
rnacentral:lncRNA from 1 species